rnacentral:rRNA from 1 species
AUACGUAGGGUGCAAGCGUUAAUCGGAAUUACUGGGCGUAAAGCGUGCGCAGGCGGUUUUGUAAGACAGAUGUGAAAUGCCCGGGCUCAACCUGGGACCUGCAUUUGUGACUGCAUCGCUAGAGUACGGUAGAGGGGGAUGGAAUUCCGCGUGUAGCAGUGAAAUGCGUAGAUAUGCGGAGGAACACCGAUGGCGAAGGCAAUCCCCUGGACCUGUACUGACGCUCAUGCACGAAAGCGUGGGGAGCAAACAGGAUUAGAUACCCUGGUAGUCCACGCCCUAAACGAUGUCAACUGGUUGUUGGGUCUUCACUGACUCAGUAACGAAGCUAACGCGUGAAGUUGACCGCCUGGGGAGUACGGCCGCAAGGUUGAAACUCAAAUGAAUUGGCGGGG